GAGGUCAGUUUUAUAGAGAAGAGAGGGGCAAGGAGAAGAGACCGGCGGCGGAGGAGAAGGGAGGAAGGAGAGCCGGCGGAGCAGCGGAGGCAGCGGUGGUGCAGGAGGAGGGGACGGUGGUGGGAGAGGUAGGGACGGAGAGGAGGAGGGGACGGAGACGCGUGGGCCGUUGUACCGGUCUGGCUACCUACCCCAUCCGCUUCUCCUCACCGUCUAGGCGGAGGAGAACCCGCCAACACGAGAAGAAACAACUCUUGAACAGCGGACAACGUGGGCGCAGCGACGGCAAGAAUGCCGCCACGACGACGGCACCUGCCGAACCGAAUUCCGCUCGUCCCGCCGUACUAGAAGAACCACCCACACCUCCUCGUCCCCUCCUACUCCUCUUACCGUCCCUCCCUUCCUUGUCGCUCCGACCUCAAGGUCUGCCACGACCGGUACCAUGGGACAGGGGUUAGAUCCAACGGUUAUACGUCGGAGGAACUAAAUACCAAAAAAUUUGUGUGUACACGUCUGGACUCCUUUUUAUCUUCUCCCACUUAGAACUACUUUUCAAACUUGUUUCACUAGAGGGGGAGAGAGAACUUGUGAUGAUAGUGCAAGUAUACAAGACGUAUUCCGAUAGAAUAAGCCACGCGUUCUCUCAUAAAUAUCAAUCUUAUAAUGUAAGAAGUACAGAGUAUAUUUUAGAAGAAGAAACUUGUUACAAGAAAUUAAAGAUUUAAACAACGUCCAAGCUUCUAUAUCUAGAUUAACUAUAUAACGACUACCCCUAAUUCAUGACAUUACUAUAUGGACUCUUAAAACUACUAUAUAGACGAUGGUUCAACUUAUAACUGGUGUUUAAUUAAAAACACACACGAAGACGAGUAAAUUCACGUAUUAAACCAGUGUUUGGAGGACGACAUCGAUGUUUCAAGUAACACACUACGGAUGUUCAAUAACCAGAAUAAAAACCACAUUUCGACGCCCGGUUCAAGUCUAACAAGAAAACUGCUUUUACCUUGUCCAUUACGAUGUCGGAUUCGUAACAUAUCAUAUUUAAAGUAUUUUCCAGUACAUUAUAAAAUGAAUCGAAGUAAGUUUAUAGACCUUAACUGUACGUAUACAAAGAACAUACACGUGUGUAAAAACCAACAUAGAAUUAUACUCAAGAAAUACAACGAACGGAUUUAAGUCUUCACUUGAAAACGACAUAUAAACCAGCUACACACAGGACAUUUGGCAUUUGAAUGAUCCACAUGUACAUGUACACAUAAACAAUGUGAUAAUAGUAUAUGUUGUGAAGGUCUAGUCUUCUAUGUCUAUAGAGGAAAAAUGUAUUUAUUAACACUAACAAGAGUAUGUUAAACCGUAAAGUUCUUAUAGCGUCGGUGUGUUCGAUUUCCAAGUCCUUCAAAUCCCUUUCUUUUCAAGAAUAAGUGUUUCUACCACCAUACCUAUUCAGGGAUAAGAGUAACAGUGACCAUGAAGUAAAAAGAAUAUAAAACUACGAAUAAAAAAACAUACUUCCACUCAAAAUAGACCAUAGUGAAAAACUGUACCUGUACAUGGUAUACUAACAACUCAAAGUAGACUAAAGUGAAAAACUGUACUGGUAUAUGGUACCCCAUAUCAUAAAUACUUCUCACCGAACCUUUAACGUUCAUCUACCAAUGAGAUCGGCAUAUCGAAUAAAUUAAUCCUCACUCUACGAACGAUUCUACUUACCACAAAGACAUGCCCGUCUGUAUAAGGAUCGUGAACUAAUACGUGUACAUAUAUACCUAUGAAGACAUGCUUACGUCGAGUGUGAAUGGUGCUAGUCUUCUCAGAACGUACCUAGAUAGUACACUACACUGUGACCUUAUUAACCGGACCUCAAGUGGCCGCACUGGCUCGCGUCACGUUGCCUCGUCAAGUUGUGCACAAACGUGUACUGACGGUACCUUCUCCUAGAACGACCUUGCGACGGCAAAGAAGUCAAACCCUAAAACAGUUGUUAAGAUAUUGGAACUAACGCGACUUGUAUUCACCCUAGAUGUGUAAUAAGACGACUGAAACGAGUGUACUCAAGAAGGGGUAAAAGGAGAAACUACGGAAAAGAAGACUUACCUUUCUGAAUAGAAGAAAUUUCAAGUAGUACCAAAACCACAAUCAUACUGACCAAAUACCAAAUAUUAAAAAUACGAGAGUUGGUUUACACACACGAUACUAUUAAUUCCAAUGAUUCUACUUACCACAAAGAUAUCCCGGCCUGUAUAAAGAAUAGCAGUAUUUAGUCACUACGUGUCUAAUAGAAUCGAUAUAACACUUAGAACUAUUGGGGUGCUACUUGUUUAAAACGCCGGACAUAAACCCAAAUAAGUUUAACAACGCUUUAUACAAGAAGGUCCUUUUCAGUGAUGUAGUAUACAGGAUCUAUUUAUAAAUAACUUGUAAAUCAAAAGGAAUAUGUACGAAUAGCACACCGUAUUACAAUAAAACACUCGAAUUAAGAUGGGACUUAUAUGUUUAUUAAUCAAACAAAUAAAAAAAACGACAGUAUUAUUCUGGGACUUUGGUAGAAGGUAGCUUGUGUAUAUACUCAUAGAUAUAAUACAUGUUCCACGUCUAUCUAUAUAAACGACUGGUUCGUUAAGGGGAGAAAACUCUGUUUCUGGUUAUAUACUAAUGGGUAAGGGGCCAAAGGAAAGAUAAAAAAUAAAGUUAUAUUGUAUUACUCGAUAAGUAACAAAAUAUUAAAGUCACAUUAGAUUUUAGGCUGACGCUUGUAUCUACGUAAAUAAGUGUUUAAUCGUUCGUGGACUCACUUCUUGCGAAUUUUACGUACCUUUUACGUUAAUGGUGGUCGUUUAUUUAACCGUAAACAUAAGGUCCAUUGUCAGGGCUUUUCUUCUCCUGAUACAUAAGACGCAGAUUAGUAAUCCGUCGUUACAGAGCUGAUGAAAGGUGAUUUAUCACUAUUCAACCAACAAGAAAACACAGAUAAACGCGUUGAUACAGUACCACGGUUACUUCAGUUUACAUAUAUUACGAACCGCUACGGUCUGUGAUCGGGCCGAACCCGUUCCCGCGUUGAGGACUGCUGGUGCCCACCCACCUGUUACCUCCGACAGCUGGUAGUCGUCCAUGCUCAAGUUCAACAGUAACAUCCGAGGAGUUAAAAAUUAGAGGACGAACACGACUCCUAUAGAGCUAAAGAACUAAGAUAGAGUCCUUUUGUUGGGGUUGGAAUUUUAAUAUUACCGUAGGGUGUUGAAAGGACUUAGUACAACAUACGUUCCUGAGAGAAUUUAUGAUGAGGGAGACUUAAUGUAUGUGUCUGGAAGACCUACCAACCGAACCAACAGGCCUAGUUGAAAUACACCCCUUUGGUAUAAGGUUGGCAUUUUAACUAUUUUACCUUCAUCGUUCCAUAAAUAAACCGAAUAACCCAACGAAGAGAAAGAUGUUGAAACAAUGACUUCCUUAUCUUGUCUUCCGGAAUGACAAUGCCGUUACCAUAAACUAAUUCAUAUAGUAGUAGUAGUACGACGAUUUAAGUAUCAGAACUUGAAACUAACAAACAAUAUGCCAUACCUUAUCACUUCAGUUUGUCAAUUAAGUCGUGACGAGGAGGUGCAAUCUUAAUUGGUAACCCCUGAAAACUAUCUCCACUAAAACAAAUCUAUUAAUCAGAUCCCUCAUUGGAAAACUAGCUAUUCCGUGUACAAAUAAACGAAAAAGCAAGUUCCUAUGUGAUUUCAUUGGUAGUCGUAGUCACUUUUCAUCCGUAUGUUUUGUACUUCUAAAACGGAACCUACAUACGGAGUGAAUCGACAGCGAAUAAAUAAAGUUCCUUCAAUAAGCAGCUCGAAAGAAUGUGAAGGUCAAAGGUUUAUAUUUUAAAUUAUGUUAUAUAAUUAUGUACUCCUCCACUCUCUUCUUUUCUCCCCGACAGUCCAGUCUAAAUACACGAUAUAAGUAAAAUUAAACAACUCCUUUAAGGCGGCUGUAAAGAAUUCUCGAUUUUGACUUGGUAUUAAGGUCCAAAUCCCCGUGUUGUUAAAUCAAAUCUGUAGGUUAUAGGCCGACAAAAUGUAUCGAUCGACGUCGGUUACGCUCCGGAAAUGGAAGUACUUGAUGAACAAUGACACACGGAACUUAUUUGACUUUAUCUAGUGAACAUAUAGAGACUUGAUUUUAUGUGGGUUCAAGGAUAAAGACGAUAUUGACUUAUAUAUGCCAACGGAACACCAAAAGAAGAAAAUACAACACACGUUAGAGGUUAGUUAUAGAAAAAAACGUAAAGUGUUGAUAUAGAGAAGACGAGUUAAAAAUACGAUGUAAAGCGGAGAUGUCAGUUGGACUUGUCGUGACUAGGUUUCCUUAACAUGAUGUAUGUUCCACAGAGACCUGUAGUAAAAUUUCUAUCACAAAGGAACACUCUCGUUGUAAGAAAAACAAAGUACCAAGUUAUCUCCAGAGUAUCACUUGAUGUUGUGAUCCAACGUCAUAUUACAGUCGACUAACGUUGUAGGACUCAAUGAAAUCUUCAAAAGUAGACUUUUGAACUAAAAGAAAACUGUAAGUAACGUGUACAUAAGACUAAACAAGUGUUCCUUCGAGUGUUUAAACACAGGUAGAAAAAGCAUCAUUAGUAUACCGAACGUAUAAAAUAGUCUGACUAGUAUCAGUGCUUCUAGUCUGACUAUUAUAAACCAUCUCUUCUAGUCUUCUUUGUAAAUAUAGUAUAAAAACAUACGAAAAAGACAUCUUUUCCAUGGUACCCAACUAACACAACCUAGGGUAAUGAUAUAGUACAUAAACUGACGAUAAGGAUUCUUGACGAGGACCUGUGUCGCGAGAUACAACUGUACAGAAUGUAAAAUAACACAGCGGAUAGACAUAUCAAUGAGCCUAGAAUGGAAAAACAUAAAAACAGCUACGCACACAAGAAGGAUGAUAUUUCGUUGUACUUAAAGAAAUUUAAUUUAACACGUAUAACUCCUUUUAUUUAGAACACACAGAUAUCAGUACAAGUACAUACAAGACUUGAUUCUGUUUAUAAGAAGUAACAGAUACGGAAAACGAGGACAAUUGCUACUAUCACGUUGAGAGGUAAAAUAAUUAAGGAAUGGGUAAGUGAACUUUAUAACGGAUUUAUAAUAAUAAAAACAUCAACCAAAUCGUCGGACUGAAUCUAGAAGAUGUAACGGGUAUCUCUUAGAAGUUUUCACAUCAGUAUAUACAGUGAACUAUUUAAGAUCCUGUAAUUAGAUAUCAUUAGGAUACGCAAAGUCGACAGUGGUUAGGUACCACUUUAUUUGUCCUCGUAUUUACGAACGUCUUCAACAGUUCUCCGAAGUAAAUUGGUAGUUUCUGGUACUCUGGAUGGUUAGGUCACUAUCUCUACCUCUGUUAGAGAGGAACACCUUCUUGUUACAUAGUUAACGGUUGUUUUGGUUUGUAAACUAGGAUAGAAUGGUACAUCAUGAUUGAAUUGACGUUACAUAGUGAACACAGUUUUUGAUAAACUUAGCGC
rnacentral:rRNA from 1 species